ACCCAGAGGCACCCUUGGAGCUGGGGAGGGGGUGUAAAAACACAGCAGUGUGAGAAACGGUGCUUUGGAAAUUCCAAGCAGCAACAUCACAGAGUUCAGCCCCAUGUGCUGUGUAAAAAACCAGCAGGAUGCUAAAAAAAUCUCCAGAAAGAGGAAAUUUGGGUUUUCAUGCUCUGUGCUCGCUUCCCCUCACUGCGAGGGGGUGGGUGAGAGACUCUCCACAGGCACAGCCUCCUUCUUCCCCUGAGCAGCUUUUCCCCCUGAUUUUUCCAUGGGUACCCCCCAAAUCAGCCAUGCUGGGGCACUGGAUGAAGAUUUGUGCCUAAUGAGCCAGAACAGCAGGUAGAAGAGUCCCGAAAAGCUGCACUUUGAUGGAGAUCAUGGAGCUGUGGCGAACCUUGGAGCCAAGAGGUUACAAAACCCACCCUGCAGAGAAAAAGAGCGGGUCUGGGUUGUCUGCGGUCUUUUUGUUCUGCAGCACUGCUGGAGCUCCUCCCUGCAGCUCCAGCAGAGACACCAACAGCCCCCUCAGAGCGCUGCCUCCAGGCUGGGCAAGGGCUGUCCCACAGAUGCACUUCCAUCAUGGGAUGUAGUUGCCAUGGCUGAUGAUGCUGGCACCGGGGCCAAAAUCCCAGCACUUUUACUUGACCCCAAAAACACGCCCUUGAAAAGAACCCACUGUCCCUGCACAGCUCCUGCUCCAGCCUGCUGAGGAAUCCCCUCCUGCAGAUCCUGACAUCCUGAUGCACCUUCUGAGAGAUUCCCUCUUGAUCCACUUGCAGAAAUCUCAGUUUCAAGGGCCACCCACUCUAAAUCCUGUCUGUGACCACCCCCACGGGCUGUUUGCUGGGCUCCCAGCAGAGCUGAGCUGCUGGUGCAGAUGAAAGCAAAGCCAGCAGAAAAGCACCUUUUACAAAGUACAGCUGCAAACCUGCAGCCCAUGAAGUCAAGCUCAAAACCUUCAGCCCAUGAAGUUUAAAACCUUCAGCCCAUGAAGUCAAGUUUAAAAGCUUCAGCCCACGAAGUUAAGUUUUAACCCAGAGCAGUGACUGCAGUCUGAAUUAGGAAUUAAAACCACUUCAGGAUUCUCAUUAGCAAAAGCAAGUCCAAGCAAUCCUGCUCUUUUUGUCAUCUUGUGUCCCCUCACUAGUAUUAAUUUCCUCCUGUCGCUGCUCACUCACAGAGCCCUGGAUGACACAAAGAUGGGCAGCACAUGGAUUUUAUUUUACGGCAACAUAAAUCACCGUUGGAAAAAAACAGAUUUGCACGUUACCCUUACUGUCACGUACGACUUUAAAACAAAAUAUAUUCCCGGAGGAAUCAGGCAAAAGAAGGAAAUAAUCGCUAUUAAUGACACCGGAGAACAGUUGCAGCGCCGCUAAUUGCCCACG